rnacentral:tRNA from 1 species
AAGGAAGAUCCCUUACGGUCGUCUCUUUAUGAGGCAACGCCGUUUCGGAUCUCUUGGAACAUGGCCGACCAGUCAGGUCGGCCGAUCAAACACAAGGCGGUCGUCGCCGUCUUCGUUUCUCUUUCUUCGACAUACGCGUGAUCAGCGCUCGGGUGCUGGACUGCCGGUUCGCCUCAGGGUACGCCGGGGCGGCGUCCUUGACGUAUCCGGUCGUCUUCGGGCGAUGGGAUGGCAAGGGCCUGUAGCUCAGUCGGUUAGAGCGCACCCCUGAUAAGGGUGAGGUCGGUAGUUCGAAUCUACCCAGGCCCACCAUUUGCCCGGCGAUCAUGACCGGCUGGGGCCAUAGCUCAGCUGGGAGAGCGCCUGCUUUGCAAGCAGGAGGUCGUCGGUUCGAUCCCGUCUGGCUCCACCUUCUUCUUCGGUCGAUGGGGUGUUCGGGUGACGCGCGUGAGAAGAAAGUACAAGUUUCGCAGAUCCCACUAUGCGUGAGGGUUUGCAGGAUUUCUGACAUCGUGAAGAGAAGAUAUGUCCGGACGCACCUUUGGGUGUGGGCCUUCCAAUUGGAGGCCAAUUCCGCUCUCCGGCGGAGUUUACGGGCAGAUCUCGUGUGACACUGGUCUUUCCGAUCCGUCCGUCCGCCUCAUCAGCGGAUGGUGGAUCGACAGCCCGCCUUGGCGCCUCCUGACCGGGGUGCUGCUCUCAGGCUUCUUCCCGUUGGGGAGAGGUGAGGCGGGCAUUGAUAAUGAGAGCGA